UAAAGAAUGACAUGGCCUGAUUGUCAGCAAUUUUUAUUUCUGCAAUAGUGUAAAAAUGUUUGAGUUUUAAUACUAUUUAUUAUUUCAAAAAGAGAAAAUAUUUUAAAGUUUUAAAUGAUAGCUAAAAUUACACCUGAAAGCUAGAAAGAGCAAAUACAUAGAAUACUUCUCCCUCUUUUUAGAAUUGCAUUCGAAAAUAUGUUUUCAUUCAAAAAUAAGCUGAUGGGGAUGUGCUUUUAUGUCUUUAGUGACCUUUACAGAUUUACUCCUCAGGUUUUUUGAGUUCAUAGAAUCAUGGAAUAAUUCAGGCAGGAAGGGACUCCAAAGAUCACCUGAUUCCAAGCCUGCUGCCGUGGGCAGGGACAUCUUUCCCUAGAGCAGCUUGCUCGGAGCCUCAUCCCAGAGCAGCAAUGGGCCUUGAACAUUUCCAGGCGUGGGGCAGCCGCAGCAUCUCUGAGCAACCUGUGCCAGCCAGGUGCCAGAGGAGGCAGAAAGCCCUUCCCACCCGGAGCAGCGGCCGCUGCAGCUUCGUGCAGCCUCGUGUCACCGAGCGUGCGAGACAGAAGGGCCCUUCCCGUGGAGGGAUAGCAGCACCCAAAGAUCUUUUUCGGGAAAAGCAGAGCGAUGGAACACCAAAGUAGCCUUCAGUUCUUCAGCAGGUUUGGGAACAACUUGAAGGAGGAGCAGAGCUGGCCUGGUGCCUGCCAGCUCUGCAGGCAGUGGGGAUGGAGAAGCUGCAGUUGUCUGUCUUCUCGGCCGAGUCUUUAAAAAUGAGGCGCUUUUCUGUAGCUCCUUUUCAAGCAUUACAUGAAAGUUCCCCCUAGAAGUCCAAAGGCAGCUGUUUUCUUAGCAGAAGGAAGUCUGGAAGAGGCAAAGCAGGCAAAGACAUCAGAGGAGUCUGGAUAAAAACCUUGGCUAACCUCUUUUUCCUCCCUCUUCCAAAAGGCCAGUUCUGAAGCGCUCACCAGAGAUCUGCCAGAGAUCCGGGAGGAAAAGCAGAGCCAAGCACUGAGAACUGACGUGUGAGCCCUGGUGAGGACUGCCGCUCCCUCUGCCUUGGUGUGGGACCUCCUGAGCUCCCAUUCCGAUGCUGGGAGUGUUUCUCCUCUCAUCCAGCCAAGCCAGAGACCUCCUAGGGAACAAGCAGGACAGCACGAAGACUGAACGUGUAAGAAGAUGUGGGGUGCAAUGGAGAACCUGGCAGGAGCAUCCGACGCACACGUGCACGAGUUUUGCUUUUUGCUUGGAUUGAAACUCAAAAGUUGUAAGGAAUUUGGGAAUGAGAUGGGACGUUUCAGAAGAAGAGGAAGGAGGAGAAGAAGUUGUUGUUACAGUCCUGGCAAAAUCCUUUGUUCUAGCUAAUAAAAGAAGUUA